rfam:Clostridium sp. CAG:594 genomic scaffold, scf153
CUAUGACUUUAUAAGAGUCAUGGCGAAAGGAG